AAAGACCACAUUUUUGUAUUGUUUAUGUUCAAUGUUUGACCAUUUAUCUUAUUUGAAAAAAAAAUAAUGAUUAUAGUAUUUUCUUAUUGUUAUUAGAUGAUAAAACAUGAAUAGUACUUUAUACGUGACUAAAUUUUUAACUUUUUAAUACUUUUUUUAAAUAAGAUGGAUAGUCAAACAUUUAACAUAGAAAUCCACAACAACAUUUAAA
rnacentral:pre_miRNA from 1 species